UACGUAGGGACCAAGCGUUGUUCGGAUUUACUGGGCGUAAAGGGCGCGUAGGCGGCGUGGUAAGUCACUUGUGAAAUCUCUGAGCUUAACUCAGAACGGUCAAGUGAUACUGCUGUGCUAGAGUGCGGUAGGGGCGACUGGAAUUCCUGGUGUAGCGGUGGAAUGCGCAGAUAUCAGGAGGAACACCGGUGGCGAAGGCGGGUCUCUGGGCAGUAACUGACGCUGAGGAGCGAAAGCGUGGGGAGCGAACAGG
rnacentral:rRNA from 1 species